CAGUGGCUCAAUUGGUAGAGCAGCGGUCUCCAAAACCGCGGGUUGGGGGUUCGAGUCCCUCCUGG
rnacentral:tRNA from 1 species